rnacentral:rRNA from 1 species
GGGUGAGUAACACGUGGAUAACCUACCUAUAAGACUGGGAUAACUUCGGGAAACCGGAGCUAAUACCGGAUAAUAUUUUGAACCGCAUGGUUCAAAAGUGAAAGACGGUCUUGCUGUCACUUAUAGAUGGAUCCGCGCUGCAUUAGUUAGUUGGUAAGGUAACGGCUUACCAAGGCAACGAUGCAUAGCCGACCUGAGAGGGUGAUCGGCCACACUGGAACUGAGACACGGUCCAG